UACGUAGGUGACGAGCGUUGUCCGGAAUUAUUGGGCGUAAAGCGCGCGUAGGCGGGUUAGUCAGUCUGUUGUAAAAGCGCGGGGCUCAACCCCGUAAGGUCGAUGGAAACUGCUAUUCUUGAGUGCAGGAGAGGAGAGUGGAAUUCCCAGUGUAGCGGUGAAAUGCGUAGAUAUUGGGAGGAACACCAGUGGCGAAGGCGGCGUUCUGGACUGUGUCUGACGCUCAGGCGCGAAAGCCAGGGGAGCGAACGGG
rnacentral:rRNA from 1 species